UGUUCUGGGCCGCACGCGCGCUACACUGACAGGGCCAGCGAGUACAUCACCUUGGCCGAGAGGUCUGGGUAAUCUUGUUAAACCCUGUCGUGCUGGGGAUAGAGCAUUGCAAUUAUUGCUCUUCAACGAGGAAUGCCUAGUAGGCACGAGUCAUCAGCUCGUGCCGAUUACGUCCCUGCCCUUUGUACACACCGCCCGUCG
rnacentral:rRNA from 1 species